rnacentral:rRNA from 1 species
CUUGGUCGGGAAGUGGAGCGGUGCCAACGUGCCGGGCCUGGGCGAGGCGAAGGGCGCUCGUCGCCCGGACCCUAGCUCGGUCCCGUGCCUUGGCCACCCACGGACCUUCCUUGCUGCGAGCCUCCCGGCUGUCUAGUUUCCGUGAAAGCGGAGGACGGGCCGGAAGGCUCUUCGGCCGCCAUAGAACGAUCAACUUAGAACUGGCACGGACCAGGGGGAUCCGACUGUCUAAUUAAAACAAAGCAUUGCGAUG